UGAACAACAUCAGCAUUAUCAUGGUCUCUUGUCUGUGACAUCCUCAGCUAGCCUUGCAAAGAUAGGCCUUACUGUCUUUUUAAUAGGACGCAUUCCUAUCUGGUUUUGAAUUCUGAAGUGGUUUAAAUGAGUAGAUAGACCUGAGACAAAAUUUACCAACUUUUUGCCAUUUCUGUAGUUUAUUAAAAUUUGACGCUUUCCGUAUUUCCUUGAAUAUUUUGCAUCUAAUAUGGCUAUGUUCUUAUGCUGAGCACUAAGAGAAGUCGAUGUAACUUAUGCUAACCAUUUACUAGCUCUGUCACUAAACAUUUACUAGCCCUUACACUUUUUUUUUUAGUUGUUACACUUGGGGUUCGAACCCCAACCCAACACACACACACCCUUGCAAAAAUUAAUCGUGAAAAACUUAGAAACAAACAUACGAGGAUAAGGUUUAGUUCACUUUAACUAUGUUGUUCAAACUUGCAUAAAGUCUUGAUCCCAGUUUUGCAGGAGACAGGUAGGUUACACAAGGCAAUCUCAUCUAAUGUUGGAUGAUUUCAUUAAGUAGUUAGAAGUAUAAAGCUUGCAGCUAUGGAAAAGAUUGUAAACAGAAGCUUGUUACUCAUAAUCCCAUUCUUUUUCUUGAGAUUGCUUUAAGAUAUAUCCAUUUUCUCUGCAGUUCUAAUUGAAUUCAAGAAAAACCCAGAAAUGGUUAUGGAAAAUAUACACAACAAUGCUAAGUAUGAUUCAUGCAGAACCACAGAAGUAGAAUGGAAGUCUCCUUUAAAAUUAUGAAUUACGAGCUAAUCCCUGAUUGUUUUGGUUCUUUGUCCCUUGUUGCUUAUAUAGUGUGGAAUUCAUGUUGAAUAAUUUUUUUUUCAACUAUACUAAAUGUAGAGAUUAAAGUAGUUCAUUUGAAUCAUAAUCCUUAUGUUGUCUACCUCUUUGAUUGUUAAGAUGCUUCACAUUUUCUUAUAUGUUCUUAUUGCAAAUUUAUCAGAUUGAAAAUGAAUACGGAAAUAUUGAAGGGAAGUUUGGGAAAAAAGGAAAGGACAUGUUAAGUGGGCAGCAAAGAUGGCUUUAAGCCUUGGUGCUGGGGUUCCAUGGGUGAUGUGCAGGCAAACUGAUUCUCCGGAUGAAGUUGUAAGAUAGAUGCAUGCAAUGGAUACUACUGUGACGGUUAUACGCCAAAUUCCUAUAACAAACCCACGCUUUGGACUGAAAAUUGGGAUGGAUGAAUUAUGGUGCAUUCUUGGAGAAAGACGGAGCAGGGUUUAGAGGGCAAGUUAAACUUACUAGAUUUCAAAAUGUGGAUAUAGACCUCUCAAAGUCUUUAUGGACCUACCAGGUUGGGCUCAAGGGAGAAUUCUUGAAGAUAUAUGCUGCAGAAGAAAAUGAAAAGGCAGGGUGGACUGAUUUAACUCCAGAUGCUGAUCCAUCGAUAUUAACAAUUUGAUGACACCGCCUCCACCACCUCCAAUAGACCAAGCUUCAGAUGCAAAUUUAAGAUAGUCGCCAUCUAUUUCAGUUCGGGAGUCACAAGAUGAUUCUUAGUUUAUUUACAUUAAUUUACUAAGGAAUGAACUUUAUGAAGUUUUUUUUAUUUUGGUAGGGGUAACCUUAAAAUGAUAACUUUAUGACUUAUUUUAGUAUUGAACAUUAUAAAGAAUUUUAGCAUUAAACAUUUUAUUA